AACGAACGCUGGCGGCAUGCCUAACACAUGCAAGUCGAACGAAGGCUUCGGCCUUAGUGGCGCACGGGUGCGUAACGCGUGGGAAUCUGCCCUUAGGUUCGGAAUAACAGUUAGAAAUGACUGCUAAUACCGGAUGAUGACGUAAGUCCAAAGAUUUAUCGCCUGAGGAUGAGCCCGCGUAGGAUUAGCUAGUUGGUGUGGUAAAGGCGCACCAAGGCGACGAUCCUUAGCUGGUCUGAGAGGAUGAUCAGCCACACUGGGACUGAGACACGGCCCAGACUCCUACGGGAGGCAGCAGUGGGGAAUAUUGGACAAUGGGCGCAAGCCUGAUCCAGCAAUGCCGCGUGAGUGAUGAAGGCCUUAGGGUUGUAAAGCUCUUUUACCCGUGAUGAUAAUGACAGUAGCGGGAGAAUAAGCCCCGGCUAACUUCGUG
rnacentral:rRNA from 1 species